AAAUUUGUAUUAUAAAAAAUAAAUUAUUUUGAUAAAAUAAAAAUUAAAAAUUUUUGAUUUAUAAGUUUA
rnacentral:tRNA from 1 species